ACAAGCCCUAGAAAGCGUCUGCUGAAUGGAAAAACGAAGCAGAUUCGUCACCGGGGAUACCGGUGAGACAGCAGACAUCUGCAAAUGAAAAUAUCAAAGCCCUCACAAGAAAUAGCCAUAAAAGCUUGGACCAAGCGUGGACCACGUCUGGGCUUUUUUCUGCUGACAGCUAUCCGGGCGCGUAUACUACUGUACAGUCCUUUGAAAACGUUUAAUUUAACUGUAGAAAAAUUAACCGUGAAUUAACUCUCUACGCCAGAUUUAGAAGAAAAGGCAGAUGGGCUAUGGAAGUAGGAGCUCGUACGUCGCAGCAAUGACAAGCUAAAACAGUUUCUCUUACCUAAUCUCCUAAAGUAAAAUUAAACUAACGUCCGAUAUAAAAGACUGUUAGACGUGGCAGUGCCCUAUGCAACUCAUAGAAAUUUCACAUGCUCCAAAUGUGAAGACAAGGAAACAGCUAGUCAAAGCAACAAUAAGGCCGAAAUCCGGUUCAGGUGCAGCAACACGGACGUUGUUCUAGUAAACCUGGCCCAUUUGCCUACUACAGGAGGCCGACGAUGUCGAAAUAAUUAGCAAAUACCGCUUUGGUCGCGUUUAAGAGAAUGCAAAGAGGGCUAGGGCCGACCUGCAUCGGUAUAACAAAGGAUGGAGCUAAUAUAUGAAUAGCAGUACUAGCAGUAGCGUUUAAAAAAGCAAUAUAGACAAGAAUACCAGCCGUCUGAAGAUUGCGAGUGCAAUGUCAUUGAUGCGCACGGCACCCAAGAAAACGGCAAGCAAGCACAACCAUAAUAGUAGCUUAUUUAGCUAGCAAAAGCAUCAAACAAAUCAAAAGCUUGGGUUAGCGCGACCGAGGCUAGACACAAGAAGCUUAUAAAUAAAAACAAUGCCUCAACAACAUCAUCAUCAGCAGCACCGGGACACAAAGAUCAACUAACUUUCAAGUCCAUCUCUUAAGCUUAUCCCAUUUCUGACCCAGUCUUCUUAAUUCGCGGUCAUAAUUAGUAAGAGUAGAGAACAAAAACCCGAGAACGUAAGGCUGAGAGCUGGGACCAUUGACUGUGGCGCUAGCAUGAUUACCAUCGGCAGCCGUAAUAGCGUUCUCUCAAUGACAUCCGCGAUGGAAUCGGAGUCGAUAGUACUAAUAGGAAAAAUCGUAGGAAUCUAAGCGACAAAAGAACUUCUGGCAAUAAAGCGCGCGCUCUGUAUAAUAUCUACAUAUAUCACUACCCCUUCAGCCAGACGAAAUGAGACUUAGGAACAGGCUGGUGCUCACAGGCUGAAGCUAAAUAUAAAUUCUCGUACAGCUCUCACCAAUUAAAAACUGGUCGAAAUCAC